rnacentral:rRNA from 2 species
UGCAGUCGAGCGAAUCUGAGGGAGCUUGCUCCCAAAGAUUAGCGGCGGACGGGUGAGUAACACGUGGGCAACCUGCCUGUAAGACUGGGAUAACUUCGGGAAACCGGAGCUAAUACCGGAUAAUCCUUUUCUACUCAUGUAGAAAAGCUGAAAGAUGGCUUCGGCUAUCACUUACAGAUGGGCCCGCGGCGCAUUAGCUAGUUGGUGAGGUAACGGCUCACCAAGGCGACGAUGCGUAGCCGACCUGAGAGGGUGAUCGGCCACACUGGGACUGAGACACGGCCCAGACUCCUACGGGAGGCAGCAGUAGGGAAUCUUCCGCAAUGGACGAAAGUCUGACGGAGCAACGCCGCGUGAGUGAUGAAGGUUUUCGGAUCGUAAAACUCUGUUGUUAGGGAAGAACAAGUACCGUUCGAAUAGGGCGGUACCUUGACGGUACCUAACCAGAAAGCCACGGCUAACUACGUGCCAGCAGCCGCGGUAAUACGUAGGUGGCAAGCGUUGUCCGGAAUUAUUGGGCGUAAAGCGCGCGCAGGUGGUUUCUUAAGUCUGAUGUGAAAGCCCCCGGCUCAACCGGGGAGGGUCAUUGGAAACUGGGAGACUUGAGUGCAGAAGAGGAAAGUGGAAUUCCAAGUGUAGCGGUGAAAUGCGUAGAGAUUUGGAGGAACACCAGUGGCGAAGGCGACUUUCUGGUCUGUAACUGACACUGAGGCGCGAAAGCGUGGGGAGCGAACAGGAUUAGAUACCCUGGUAGUCCACGCCGUAAACGAUGAGUGCUAAGUGUUAGAGGGUUUCCGCCCUUUAGUGCUGCAGCAAACGCAUUAAGCACUCCGCCUGGGGAGUACGGCCGCAAGGCUGAAACUCAAAGGAAUUGACGGGGGCCCGCACAAGCGGUGGA